rnacentral:rRNA from 1 species
AAUGAACGCUGGUGGCAGACCUAACACAUGCAAGUCGAACGAUUUAUAAAAACUUCGGUUUUUUAUAAAGAGUGGCAAACGGGUGAGUAAUGCAUGGGAAUCUACCUAGAAGUUUGGGAUAACUAUUAGAAAUAGUAGCUAAUACCGAAUACACCCCGAGGGGGAAAGUUGACUUUUAGUCUUCGCUUUUAGAUGAGCCCAUGUUAAAUUGUUAGUUGGUGGGAUUAACAGCCUACCAAGACGAUGAUUUAUAGCUGGUCUUAGAGGAUGAUCAGCCACACUGGAAUUGAGAUACGGUUCAGACUCCUACGGGAGGCAGCAGUGGGGAAUAUUGGACAAUGGGCGCAAGCCUGAUCCAGUCAUGCC